GGGGCUGUUACGGAUUCGACAGGCAUAGAUUGAGCUGUUACUGCGUUUUGGCAGGGUUGCGUCUGCCCAUCAACGCAUUCAGUUUAAAUUUAACUGCAAACGAAAAAAAUUCUAACUUAGCUUUAGCUGCGUAAGUAGCUUCUGCUAGAUCUGAACUGGGAUCGCCCAUGUUGCAGCUUCAGGUCCUAUAAUUUAGUGGGAUACGCUGACUUUUUCCGUCUGUAAAAGUCAGAAGAGAUGACCAGACUAGCGACAUCCCAUGCCCGUUUUACGGCUAAGAUGAAGCGAAAUGAAAUAGUAAAACUAUGAGCGUAGAGGUUUCAGUGGCAAUAUGCCUGGACGCGGGUUCGACUCCCGCCAGCUCCAUUU
rfam:Alloiococcus otitis ATCC 51267 genomic scaffold supercont1.4, whole genome shotgun sequence.